rnacentral:rRNA from 1 species
CACGUAGGGCGCGAGCGUUGUCCGGAAUUAUUGGGCGUAAAGGGCUCGUAGGCGGUUUGUUGCGUCGAAAGUGAAAAUCCGGGGCUUAACUCCGGACUUGCUUUCGAUACGGGCAGACUAGAGGUAGGCAGGGGAGAGUGGAAUUCCUGGUGUAGCGGUGGAAUGCGCAGAUAUCAGGAGGAACACCGGUGGCGAAGGCGGCUCUCUGGGCCUUACCUGACGCUGAGGAGCGAAAGCGUGGGGAGCGAACGGG